rnacentral:lncRNA from 1 species
ACGCCGUGGGAGGCGGAGGCGGCCCAGCCGGUGGACUCGCCAAGGAGCUGGUUAUGGAGGCAGACAGUGCAAACAUCGUAGCAGGGCUGUGAUAGAUACUUUCGGCAUCUCCAUCCCUCCCCCUCCUCCCAUAAAGUGAUUUCCUCCAUCAAUCUAUCUCGAUCAGACCGUGGUCGAAAUUAUCCUCCACCUCCUCUUUCUUCACUCUCGAG